UUGCCAUGGUUCCGACCAGAAAAGAGAGCGAGUAUAAAACGAUCCACAUGACUGAUCUCUACUACAGGCGGCGGAUAGCACAUCGAGCUCCAUCAACUGAAGAUAACCUUGUCCCGGAUGAUGGUGCUUCACGACUUUGCAGCAGCACUUCAUCUGCACAGCCUGCGGAGACAAGGUUUCUUAAAGAUCGCCGUGGCCCUCAAGAAAAUGUCGAGGCCAGAGCAGUUGACUGCAGAAGCCAAGAGCACAAGAAGUUCCUCCGAUGACCGUAAAAAGCACUCCUCCUUGCCAGGACUGACAGCAGUGCCCCUACCCACUCCAUCGCAAUCAUCACUGUUAAGUACACCCUUCCUCCAUUUAUUUUAAAGCUUUGGCUCCUCUUGACCUACCAUAUGCACCAGCUUCUCCUCCCCCAAUGAGUGUAGGAGCCAGUGAGCUACGCACAAAAAACGAUGCCAAGUAAAACUUUUGCUACCCUGAUGACAAGCACCUUUGUUCAAAUGUCAGCUAUAGAAACAUUCCUUGUUACAGCAAUUGUGGUCUACGCAUAUAUUUUGCUAACACAGGAGUUACUGCUUUGUUCUGUUCCGUGAUUACCAUUUUUUGCCGCUCUCCUUAGGAUGGAAAUUCACUAAUAUUAUUUGUUUCUCCUAGCAGCAGCAGGUUUAUUCUUGCAAGGCAUUUGAGGUCAAGAACAACUUUCGCCAGG